rnacentral:rRNA from 1 species
GUGCCGGCAGCCGCGGUAAUACGUAGGGUGCGAGCGUUAAUCGGAAUCACUGGGCGUAAAGGGUGCGCGGGUGGCUUGCCAAGACCCCUGUAAAAUCCUACGGCCCAACCGUAGUGCUGCGGAGGUGACUGGCAAGCUUGAGUAUGGCAGAGGGGGGUAGAAUUCCAGGUGUAGCGGUGAAAUGCGUAGAGAUCUGGAGGAAUACCAGUGGCGAAGGCGACCCUCUGGACGAAAACUGACACUGAGGCACGAAAGCGUGGGGAGCAAACAGGAUUAGAAACCCUAGUAGUCC